CUAGUAUAGCAUUAUACCGUGAAACUGCGAAUGGCUCAUUAAAUCAGUUAUCGUUUAUUUGAUAGUACCUUACUACUUGGAUAACCGUGGUAAUUCUAGAGCUAAUACAUGCUGAAAACCCUGACUUCGGAAAGGGUGUAUUUAUUAGAUAAAAAACCAAUGCCCUUUGGGCUCUUUGGUGAUUCAUGAUAACUUAACGGAUCGCAUGGCCUUGCGCCGGCGACGGUUCAUUCAAAUUUCUGCCCUAUCAACUUUCGAUGGUAAGGUAUUGGCUUACCAUGGUUUCAACGGGUAACGGGGAAUUAGGGUUCGAUUCCGGAGAGGGAGCCUGAGAAACGGCUACCACAUCCAAGGAAGGCAGCAGGCGCGCAAAUUACCCAAUCCCGACACGGGGAGGUAGUGACAAUAAAUACUGAUACAGGGCUCUUUUGGGUCUUGUAAUCGGAAUGAGUACAAUUUAAACCUCUUAACGAGGAACAAUUGGAGGGCAAGUCUGGUGCCAGCAGCCGCGGUAAUUCCAGCUCCAAUAGCGUAUAUUAAAGUUGUUGCAGUUAAAAAGCUCGUAGUUGAAUCUUGGGCCUGGCUGGCCGGUCCGCCUCACCGCGUGUACUGGUCUGGCCGGGCCUUUCCUUCUGGAGAACCUCAUGCCCUUCAGUGGGUGUGUUGGGGAACCAGGACUUUUACUUUGAAAAAAUUAGAGUGUUCAAAGCAGGCCUUUGCUCGAAUACGUUAGCAUGGAAUAAUAGAAUAGGACGUGCGGUCCUAUUUUGUUGGUUUCUAGGACCGCCGUAAUGAUUAAUAGGGAUAGUCGGGGGCAUCAGUAUUCAAUUGUCAGAGGUGAAAUUCUUGGAUUUAUUGAAGACUAACUACUGCGAAAGCAUUUGCCAAGGAUGUUUUCAUUUAUCAGUGAACGAAAGUUAGGGGAUCGAAGACGAUCAGAUACCGUCGUAGUCUUAACCGUAAACUAUGCCGACUAGGGAUCGGGCGAUGUUCUAUCUUGACUCCGCUCGCACCUUACGAGAAAUCAAGUUAUUGGGAUUCUGGUGGGAAGUAUGGGCCGCAAGGGCUUAAACCUUAAAGAAUCGCUGGGACGUAGAAG
rnacentral:rRNA from 2 species